rfam:Camelus ferus unplaced genomic scaffold scaffold390, whole genome shotgun sequence.
GAGGCUAUAGCUCAGUGGUAGAGCACACGCAUAGCAUGCAUGAGGUCCUAGGUUCAAUCCCCAGUACCUCCA